rnacentral:rRNA from 1 species
GACGAACGCUGGCGGCGUGCCUAAUACAUGCAAGUAGAACGCUGAAGAGAGGAGCUUGCUCUUCUUGGAUGAGUUGCGAACGGGUGAGUAACGCGUAGGUAACCUGCCUUGUAGCGGGGGAUAACUAUUGGAAACGAUAGCUAAUACCGCAUAACAAUGGAUGACACAUGUCAUUUAUUUGAAAGGGGCAAUUGCUCCACUACAAGAUGGACCUGCGUUGUAUUAGCUAGUAGGUGAGGUAAUGGCUCACCUAGGCGACGAUACAUAGCCGACCUGAGAGGGUGAUCGGCCACACUGGGACUGAGACACGGCCCAGACUCCUACGGGAGGCAGCAGUAGGGAAUCUUCGGCAAUGGGGGCAACCCUGACCGAGCAACGCCGCGUGAGUGAAGAAGGUUUUCGGAUCGUAAAGCUCUGUUGUAAGUCAAGAACGGGUGUGAGAGUGGAAAGUUCACACUGUGACGGUAGCUUACCAGAAAGGGACGGCUAACUACGUGCCAGCGGCCGCGGUAAUACGUAGGUCCCGAGCGUUGUCCGGAUUUAUUGGGCGUAAAGCGAGCGCAGGCGGUUUGAUAAGUCUGAAGUUAAAGGCUGUGGCCCAACCAUAGUUCGCUUUGGAAACUGUCAAACUUGAGUGCAGAAGGGGAGAGUGGAAUUCCAUGUGUAGCGGUGAAAUGCGUAGAUAUAUGGAGGAACACCGGUGGCGAAAGCGGCUCUCUGGUCUGUAACUGACGCUGAGGCUCGAAAGCGUGGGGAGCGAACAGGAUUAGAUACCCUGGUAGUCCACGCCGUAAACGAUGAGUGCUAGGUGUUGGAUCCUUUCCGGGAUUCAGUGCCGCAGCUAACGCAUUAAGCACUCCGCCUGGGGAGUACGACCGCAAGGUUGAAACUCAAAGGAAUUGACGGGGGCCCGCACAAGCGGUGGAGCAUGUGGUUUAAUUCGAAGCAACGCGAAGAACCUUACCAGGUCUUGACAUCCCGAUGCUAUUUCUAGAGAUAGAAAGUUACUUCGGUACAUCGGUGACAGGUGGUGCAUGGUUGUCGUCAGCUCGUGUCGUGAGAUGUUGGGUUAAGUCCCGCAACGAGCGCAACCCCUAUUGUUAGUUGCCAUCAUUCAGUUGGGCACUCUAGCGAGACUGCCGGUAAUAAACCGGAGGAAGGUGGGGAUGACGUCAAAUCAUCAUGCCCCUUAUGACCUGGGCUACACACGUGCUACAAUGGUUGGUACAACGAGUUGCGAGUCGGUGACGGCGAGCUAAUCUCUUAAAGCCAAUCUCAGUUCGGAUUGUAGGCUGCAACUCGCCUACAUGAAGUCGGAAUCGCUAGUAAUCGCGGAUCAGCACGCCGCGGUGAAUACGUUCCCGGGCCU